rnacentral:tRNA from 1 species
CUGGGAAGAUAACGGUGGUAGUUUACUCGCCUUGGACGCGAGAGGUUGCAAGUUCGAAUCUUGCUUCUCAGA